rnacentral:rRNA from 1 species
GGGGAAUCUUGCGCAAUGGGCGAAAGCCUGACGCAGCGAUGCCGCGUGAGGGAAGAAGGUCUUAGGAUUGUAAACCUCUUUCAGCAGGGACGAAAACAGACGGUACCUGCAGAAGAAGCCCCGGCUAACUACGUGCCAGCAGCCGCGGUAAUACGUAGGGGGCAAGCGUUGUCCGGAAUCAUUGGGCGUAAAGAGCGUGUAGGCGGACUUAAAGGUCUGGUGUGAAAGCCCGGGGCUCAACCCCGGAGGGUCACUGGAAACCAUAAGUCUUGAAUCUGGAAGAGGAGAGUGGAAUUCCUGGUGUAGCGGUGGAAUGCGCAGAUAUCAGGAGGAACACCAAUGGCGAAGGCAGCUCUCUGGUACAUGAUUGACGCUGAGACGCGAAAGCGUGGGGAGCGAAC